AAUAGUUAAAGUCUUUAAAAUUAAAAAAUUUGGCGGUAUUUUAGUCUUUUCAGAGGAACCUGUUCUAUAAUUGAUAAUCCACGAUUAGAAUUACUUGUAUUAAAAAUUUGUAUAUCGUUGUAGUUGAAUAUUUUUUAAGAAUUUUAAUAUUCAUUAUAUUUUAUAAAAUAGAAAAUCAAAUCAAGGUGCAGUUUAUGUACAAGAAGAGAUGGGUUACAGUAUUUCUAUAUGUGGAUUUUUAGUUUAAAAUUAAAAUGAAAAUGGAUUUGAAAGUAAUUUUUUUUUAUUUA
rnacentral:rRNA from 1 species